rnacentral:rRNA from 1 species
GAUCUGGCUCAGGAUGAACGCUAGCUACAGGCUUAACACAUGCAAGUCGAGGGGCAGCAUGAACUUAGCUUGCUAAGUUUGAUGGCGACCGGCGCACGGGUGAGUAACACGUAUCCAACCUUCCGUUUACUCAGGGAGUAGCCUUUCGAAAGAAAGGUUAAUACCUGAUAGUAUGGUGAGAUUGCAUGAUAACACCAUUAAAGAUUUAUUGGUAAACGAUGGGGAUGCGGUUCCAUUAGGUAGUAGGG